AUCCUUAUGCACGGGAAAUACGCAUAUCAGUGAGGAUUCGUCCGAGAUUGUGUUUUUGCUGGUUGAAAUUUACAUUUUAGCCUGACCCUCUCCUCAUAGUUCGUUAUGGGAAUUCGCUUUUGAAUUUCUAAGAGCUAUGUAGGGAAUUUUUGGAACCUUUUACUCCUUCUGAGACUUUUGAGUCUCGAAAG
rfam:Zygosaccharomyces rouxii strain CBS732 chromosome G complete sequence.